AAAGCUUCCACCUCUUCCAAGCGAAGACCAACAUCCAAAGCCACACCUGUGAAUUCAGACCUGCCUAAAGCAAAGUUGAAGGUCAAAGUGAAAUCUGGCAAAACACCUGCCAGAUCAAAAAGAUAAUAAAAAUGCAAUUGUGCUAAUACACAGAACAAUUUGACUGAAUUGUGCUGGCUAUGUUGUAUAUAGUAUUUGAUUUUUGUGAUAAAAAAACUGAAGCUAUGCAUAUGUUCAGUAUUUUUACUGCUUUGAAUGGUUUCACAGUUGAUAAACAGUAUUAAAACUUGAACAUCUUCUGUUUCAAUAUACAUGUUAUUGUGAAGAAUGAGUAAUUCAAUGAUUCUAAAUCAUACAGGGUUGGCCUUGAAAUACUGGUACUAGGAAUUACCAAAGGUACCUAUACAUGUAAAUAGAAGUAGUUCCUUCCUUUCAUGGAAAAUACUACAGAAUUUCUCUUCAUUUGGAAAUACAAAUUUAGAAUUUUC
rnacentral:misc_RNA from 1 species